rnacentral:rRNA from 1 species
AUUGAACGCUGGCGGCAUGCCUUACACAUGCAAGUCGAACGGCAGCACGGGUGCUUGCACCUGGUGGCGAGUGGCGAACGGGUGAGUAAUACAUCGGAACAUGUCCUGUAGUGGGGGAUAGCCCGGCGAAAGCCGGAUUAAUACCGCAUACGAUCUACGGAUGAAAGCGGGGGACCUUCGGGCCUCGCGCUAUAGGGUUGGCCGAUGGCUGAUUAGCUAGUUGGUGGGGUAAAGGCCUACCAAGGCGACGAUCAGUAGCUGGUCUGAGAGGACGACCAGCCACACUGGGACUGAGACACGGCCCAGACUCCUACGGGAGGCAGCAGUGGGGAAUUUUGGACAAUGGGCGAAAGCCUGAUCCAGCAAUGCCGCGUGUGUGAAGAAGGCCUUCGGGUUGUAAAGCACUUUUGUCCGGAAAGAAAUCCUUGGCCCUAAUACGGUCGGGGGAUGACGGUACCGGAAGAAUAAGCACCGGCUAACUACAUG